rnacentral:rRNA from 1 species
GAUGAACGCUGGCGGCGUGCCUAAUACAUGCGAGUCGAGCGAACGGACGAGAAGCUUGCUUCUCUGAUGUUAGCGGCGGACGGGUGAGUAACACGUGGAUAACCUACCUAUAAGACUGGGAUAACUUCGGGAAACCGGAGCUAAUACCGGAUAAUAUUUUGAACCGCAUGGUUCAAAAGUGAAAGACGGCCUUGCUGUCACUUAUAGAUGGAUCCGCGCUGCAUUAGCUAGUUGGUAAGGUAACGGCUUACCAAGGCAACGAUGCGUAGCCGACCUGAGAGGAUGAUCAGCCACACUGGAACUGAGACACGGUCCAGACUCCUACGGGAGGCAGCAGUAGGGAAUAUUGGGCAAUGGGCGAAAGCCUGACGGAGCAAUGCCGCGUGAGUGAUGAAGGUCUUCGGAUCGUAAAACUCUGUUAGUAGGGAAGAACAGAAGUGAAAGAAAAUGUUGACGUCUUGACGGUACCUAAAGAGAAAGCCACGGCUAACUACGUG